UCCUGCACCCUCGCUAGAAGACUGCACAGUUUACAUUUCCCUUCAUUUGUUUUAAAACUGAACACUGGGCUGAUAAUCCUCAGCGAACUCCUGACUUUUCCCGCACUGUCUUCAGAACAGUCAAUUUUCAACAGUGUGCGGGUUCUGUUGUUCCUCCUUUCGUUCCACUGCUAACUUUACAAUGUUCACCCAUGUUAUUUGAUUCAUUUAUUGCAGAUUGUUGGAAAGCUCGGUAGAAGUGGCGAAAACAUUUGGAGUUGAUGGCAAUAUAAUAGGAAAAAGGGAAAUGAGCUAGCCCGGAGCUCUGUGGGCGCUGGAGCUGGAACCAACGUCCAAUCAAAGAGUGGCGCGGAAGCGCCGUAAUACUAUUGGCUCGGAGAGUGAUCAAUCAUCAUAGCAUGCCUAAAUCGCUUGUUUGAUUGGCUUAAACUGAUGAAUGGGGCGGAUCCAUAUUUCAGUAUUGACUGAAUCCCACAAGCUUCACUUCGGUCCAAAAAAGCCCCUCUCCAGCUCUUUAGAGCAACCCCUCUUCAGCAUAUCUAUUAGAAUAACUUUCUUCUGCAAAAGGAGAGUUUUCUUUGUUGGUGCUACAUCUGAUUGUUUAAGCCUCACUCUAAGUUGCUUUUAAAACGCGUGUGUAGGAAAAAAGACUUGUCAAAGAAAGAUCCUGGAUAACUGGCAGGAAAGGAGGGGGGAAACACAUGAAAUAAAACAAUAUUGACUCAUAAGACCGAACGUCCAUUGUUAAAAGUUGCAGAGAUAUUACUAAUGUCAAAAUUUGCAACAAGUUGUGAACAAUGACUGCAUUAGACAAUGAAAAAUACAAGCGAUGGCCCUUCGAUUGCAAAACAAUAAACCAGAAACACGCACUAUUUGUUUAAAAAAUAAUCAAAUAACAUUCCAGGGAUAACGUGCAAUCUACAUAAUUCUGACGGACUCCUGCAUACGACCGGAAAAUGAUAACAGAUCCUAAUCCGACUCUUGCGCGUGUUAAAAGAAAUCGAGUGUCUCAGAAGAUGUUUUACUUUACGCCUCACAUUAACUGGGGAUAAAUUGAGGUCUCGAUCACAUUCCUGAUGAUGGACUAAAGUGUACACAACGUAAUACUUUUUACUUUUAUUUCGCUUAAGCUGAAGGGUUUAAGAAUAACCAAGGUGGAAGUCAAUUCUAUGGAAGGGUUUGUAAACAAAAAAAAAAUACUGGUUAAAAUUGCACUCAACAAAAUUGACGGGUUGCAAUAAAGCGUCCGAUCUCGGGUCUGGCGACGGUAGAGAUCGAUCCUUAUCGCUUCCCGCAUCCUCUCUGAGGCUGAAUCUCUUGCGCCGUCUGCAGGGCAUCGGCACAACACCACCAACACUGAACAGUUCCAACACGCCGUUGGUAGGUUCCAAAAAACGAAUGAGAGCCGGCCAUCGGAUUCAACAUCAUGCCCAUUCCUUGUACUUGUUGAGUUUAAUACCGUUGACUGCGUUUAAACCCCACAAGUUUUUAUUUACAGAAUCUCAUCUGAACUAUGAACUUUGCAAUGAUUUUUUUAACGAGCUUAAACUGUACGGCCUGUUCCCCAUUUCUGACUGAUUUCGAUAAUAAAAGCAUUAAAACACGUUGAUGAGGGCGUCCUGGUGGGGUUGGAGAUUUGUAACCUGUCACUUUUUAACUUUCUGGCACUGUCACGCGGUUACUUUUCAAUUCCAGUCGCGGCACUGAGCUGUUCACUUUGAAGCGCUUAAAGCUGUGAUACUCUGUAUGUUUAAAAGCAAAUAUACGCGCAACCUGAGCGACCACAUUCAAAUGAAGAACCAGAAUGAUUUUUAGUAACAAUUCGAAUCCAGACUGUGGUUUUUGGAAAUGCAAAGCGACAGAAAUUCAAAGCGACGGAUAUCUGUAUCGAAUCACUAGCUGUCUAGUUUACAUUUAAUUUGCUUUGCUCUUAUUAUUUUUGUUAGAACAAACUCUUUUCACCAAUCGAUAGUAAUGCGAUUUGGCAUUAAAUUUAUAAUACGAGUUCAGUUCUUGCAUUUGUAAUUUAUAUGUAUCAAUGCGUUUAAUCAAUAGAUAGAAGUAUAACAUUGAUUAAUUGUGGUUACUUAUUUCACUUCCGCCGCUGUAAAUAUUGGCCCAAACAUAACAAAUAAAUGAUCCGCCGGAUGCCCAUGUUUUUCUCUGCACGGACUUUCUCUGCCUUCGUGUCUUAUACAGGUGUCAGUGCUGGAGAUUCAUUGUAAAUGGCGCAUUAAUUGAAAAUCUUUCACAUUAAUUAAUUGACGCUUUUCUGAAGUAUUAUAGAUCAAAGGAUAAUUACGGGCAGCGAUUUUCAUGAUUUAUGUCAUUUUAAAAGUAUCAGUUUGCGUUGCUCAAACAAGUUCGUAAGCACAAAUUUGCAAAAUACGUUAAUAUCCAU